rnacentral:rRNA from 1 species
GAUGAACGCUGGCGGCGUGCCUAAUACAUGCAAGUCGAGCGAACAGAUGAGGAGCUUGCUCCUCUGACGUUAGCGGCGGACGGGUGAGUAACACGUGGAUAACCUACCUAUAAGACUGGGAUAACUUCGGGAAACCGGAGCUAAUACCGGAUAAUAUAUUGAACCGCAUGGUUCAAUAGUGAAAGACGGUUUUGCUGUCACUUAUAGAUGGAUCCGCGCCGCAUUAGCUAGUUGGUAAGGUAACGGCUUACCAAGGCAACGAUGCGUAGCCGACCUGAGAGGGUGAACGGCCCCACUGGGACUGAGACACGGCCCAGACUCCUACGGGAGGCAGCAGUAGGGAAGCUUCCGAAAUGGGCGAAAGCCUGACGGAGCAACGCCGCGUGAGUGAUGAAGGUCUGCGGAUCGUAAGACUCUGUUAUGAGGGAAGAACAAAUGUGUAAGUAACUAUGCACGUCUUGACGGUACCUAAUCAGAAAGCCACGGCUAACUACGUG